AACAAGCUUCCCCCAUCUUCUCAGAUUGCCGGCACCUGAAUAAACCUCUUUCCUUCCUCACCACCACCUGUCUCACUGGACUGGUUUCUGGGGUGUGAGUCAGGGGGACCUUGUUUUUCUGGACACAUUCCUGGUACAUGGACUCCCUGGAACAGGUGUAUCAUGGCCAUGUUCUUUCCUCUGCAGGUGACAGGGGGAAGCAGAGACGGGUCACAGAGUAAAGGAGCGAAGAACGGUGCUUUGACUUCAGAGCAAGAAGAAGAGCUAUCCCAGUACCUGUCUGUCCCUGAAUAUUUUGGUCUUGCCUCUCUCACCAGCACCUGAGAAGCAAGACCUCUGUUAAGAAGCCCACCUGGAUGCUGAUAUUAGCUUUGUUCCUUUAUCAGCUGUUAAAGGACUGAAGUAGCAAGAGGUUCUGAGAACAGUGACUGUUGCUCCUUGGACCACGGAGGGGUCAUGGCCGAACUACCAUCGAAGGUGAACCUCACCUUGCACCCCAAGUGCCUGAGGAUCCGUAGGCACUCGGUGUAUGAGGACGAGAAACAUCGCACAUGGCUGCAUCUCGUCAUGGACACAGGUGUCCUGCAGGUACGCUUGCGCCAGGAAGACAUCCCCAGUCAGCAUAUCAGACUCACCACCACCCCGCUGACCUCGAGCACCAUGCCUUGGAUGUGGACCCUCCAUUCUGGCAGCCAGU